rnacentral:lncRNA from 1 species
ACGGGACACCUGCAUCUGCCAACAAGACUGGAAGCAGAAAGGGACAGAGACGGCGAAGUUUGACGGUCUGGAAAGCAGAGACCAGCAGGGCUGACUGCUUGGGAGCACCAAAUAUCCGGACAGCGCCUCUCGGGAGGUCCGAGAAGAGAACCGCGAUCUGUUUCAGCACCGGGGCUCAGGACAGUUCCCAGCGGGCUCCGUUUCGUCUCCAGAACCCUGGACAGCUCCUCCAGUAGAGACGGGGUUUCACCAUGUUGGCCAGGCUGGUCUCAAACUCUUGACCUCUUCAUCCGUCCACCUCAGCCUCCCAAAGUGCUAGGAUUACAGGCGUGAGUCACUGCGCCUGGCCCAAGUCCGGAAUUUUCAACAGGACAUGGGUGUUACUGUGCCCAUGUGACAUUUGGGGAACCCAAGGCCCUGAGAAAGGCAGAAAAAUAACCCACGCAGGGACUCUCAGCCCACAAGUGAAGCUCUUGGAAUGCACUCCCUCCACCUCCAACCAGAGCUCCCCACAACUGACCCUGCCUUCUUCUGCAAGCUCCAUUUCAUCAAGGGAAACGAUCCUUAUUGCCUCACCAUUUCCCACGUGAAGUCUGUAUUGACAUUCUCAUAGACCUGGGAUAUUGUGUCUGCAGCACAUAGUCCAAUUAUUUUCAUGUUAUCUACUGACAGGUCUAUUUGUCUCCCUGUUACACUGUGAGCUCCGUGAGGGCAGAAACAAUGUUAGUAUUUUCACUGCUGUGUCCCCAGCGCCUGGUCCGGGGCCCGGCACACAGCAGGCAUAUAAUAAGCAUGUGUUGAAUCAAUAAAGGCAUCAAAGAAUAAACCAAUACAUCAAUCAAUAAA